UGGGGAAUAUUGCACAAUGGGGGAAACCCUGAUGCAGCAACGCCGCGUGAGUGAUGAAGGUCUUCGGAUUGUAAAGCUCUGUCUUUAGGGACGAUAAUGACGGUACCUAAGGAGGAAGCCACGGCUAACUGCGUGCCAGCAGCCGCGGUAAUACGUAGGUGGCAAGCGUUAUCCGGAUUUACUGGGCGUAAAGGGCAUGCAGGCGGUUCAUCAAGUAGGAUGUGAAAUCCCCGGGCUCAACCUGGGAACAGCAUACUAAACUGGUGGACUAGAGUAUUGCAGGGGGAGACGGAAUUCCAGGUGUAGCGGUGGAAUGCGUAGAUAUCUGGAAGAACACCAAAGGCGAAGGCAGUCUCCUGGGCAAAUACUGACGCUCAUAUGCGAAAGCGUGGGUAGCAAACAGGAUUAGAUACCCUGGUAGU
rnacentral:rRNA from 1 species